rnacentral:rRNA from 1 species
AGUGAACGCUGGCGGUAGGCCUAACACAUGCAAGUCGAACGGCAGCACAGUAAGAGCUUGCUCUUACGGGUGGCGAGUGGCGGACGGGUGAGGAAUACAUCGGAAUCUACUUUUUCGUGGGGGAUAACGUAGGGAAACUUACGCUAAUACCGCAUACGACCUACGGGUGAAAGCAGGGGAUCUUCGGACCUUGCGCGAUUGAAUGAGCCGAUGUCGGAUUAGCUAGUUGGCGGGGUAAAGGCCCACCAAGGCGACGAUCCGUAGCUGGUCUGAGAGGAUGAUCAGCCACACUGGAACUGAGACACGGUCCGGACUCCUACGGGAGGCAGCAGUGGGGAAUAUUGGACAAUGGGCGCAAGCCUGAUCCAGCCAUACCGCGUGGGUGAAGAAGGCCUUCGGGUUGUAAAGCCCUUUUGUUGGGAAAGAAAAGCAGCAGGUGAAUACCCCGCUGUUCUGACGGUACCCAAAGAAUAAGCACCGGCUAAC